UACGGGGGGGGCAAGCGUUGUUCGGAAUUACUGGGCGUAAAGGGCGCGUAGGCGGGCGGCCGCGUCCGGGGUGAAAUCCCACGGCUCAACCGUGGAACGGCCUCGGAUACGGGCGGCCUCGAGGGGGGUAGGGGCAUCUGGAACUGUGAGUGGAGCGGUGAAAUGCGUUGAUAUUCACAGGAACUCCGGUGGCGAAGGCGAGGUGCUGGACCCCAUCUGACGCUGAGGCGCGAAGGCCAGGGGAGCAAACGGG
rnacentral:rRNA from 1 species